AGGGUUGGCCACCUUGAGAAGCUGCGAAGAUGGCGGAGUAAGGCGUGCCGCUGCAAACUGGCCUCUGGGCCGGGGGCGAGCAGCCCCCGGGAGGCCGAGUGCAUCUGUUGGACCGUGCGAGGAGAAGAAAAAAAAUAUCGGCCAGAGGAGAGGAACUAACCGAACAUUCUUCCUCCCUACCUUAUAGAGGGGAGUGGUCAUCUACACUAAAGCAAAGUGUUAGGCGCGUCCGUGCGAAGAGACCACCAAACAGGCUUUGUGUUCCUUAUCACAGGAAGAAAAUUUUCCUUGACCUUUAGGUGCUUUUAUAUUCAUCUCAAAAACAAAAUUCUGAACUCAGGACUUGGCAAACCACCGCUGAAACUUCACUUCUACACAGAGGCUUUCUUUCCCAGAAACCCAGACCAGAUGGAGUUUCACUCUGUCGCCCAGGCUGGAGUGCAGUGGCACGAUCUCGGCUGACUGCAGCCUCUACCUGCUGGGUUCAAGCAAUUCUUCUGCCUCAGGUUCCUGAGUAGCUGGGAUUACAGAGAUGGGUUUCACCAUGUUAGCCAGGCUGGUCUCAAACUCCUGACCUCGAGUGAUCCACCGCCUCAGCCUCCUAAAGUGCUGGGAUUACAGGCAUAAGCCACUGUGCUCAGCCUACUUUGUCUUUCCUGAAAAACCUUUUAAAAUUUAUUUGAUGGACUUUGUCUCAAAAUAAAUAAAAUAAAAUGUAUUUGAUGAUCAAUA
rnacentral:lncRNA from 1 species